UGUGAUCAAUGAAGAUUUAUUGACCUUCAAUUACAUGGAAACUGAUAUGUUGAAGCUCAAAACUACAGUUGCAUUGAAAUCCUGGUUCUAGAUAGCAAAUUUUAUAAUAUUCGGUUACUUUGAGCAAAGGAAAACUUGCUUAUUGCACCAAAAGGUUCCAAGCUCACAGUUCAAAUUGUAGAGUCAACUGUACUUUUUUUCUCCAAUACCUGUCAUUUGAGAGUUACCAGACUCGCUUGCAGAUUGUGGAGUUGUGGUAGAGGAGCUUUGGUAAUUGUGUUGUAGGUGGAAAGUUCGACUUCGCCAUUCUUAAGCGGAGUUUGGUAUCUUUCUUCAACAUUGAGAAACAGCUGUUUCUGACAAUAUACUGGCAAGGACGAGCUGCCAAGGUACUCCUCACCUGGCUAACCAGAGAUAGGUCAAAGAGGAAAUUCGGUCCAGUCUUAUUUGCAUUGCCUAGAGACAAUGAAGAAGAACCGAUGGUUCAAGAACAUGAAGAACAUCUUGGUGCUUCGAUUUCGUCAGAUAAUGGAGCGUAGGUGGUUGGAGAAGCCAAACUUGAGGAAGAGUUUUGGGUGAUUUUACAGUAAUUUGAAAUUCUGCUUUGAAUUUGUUUUUUCGAAUUAGAUUUUGAAGGUGGGUUUAAUAUGAGUUAUUUUCUGAGUAGUCAUCAGCAUGAUUGAAAGCAGAAGGACUUUAUGAAAUUGCAUCACACGACUAGUUCGUAAAGGAAUACGUCGAGCAGGAACUUCGGAUGCCUGUGAAUGUGUUUAGCACCUUCAAAAAAGAGGAUCACAGAAUUAUGGCAUAAUCUCGAACGUAACUGUAACCGAAUUGGCACGUUGACAAGGUGUUGGAAGCAGCAUUCUUAAGUUUGCAAUUGAAACUGCAAAAGAAGAUGGUAUUCUUAAUGUCGGUCGGGAUAACAAAACAAGAACUGGCACUGUACAGAAAGAUGGGGUUCGAGGUAAUAAUACUUUGAUCUGUUUUUUAUUCAGUUUCUGAUGGUUAGUUACCUUUGAUCAAUAACAAUCAGCUGGUCCUGACAUAUAAUUGAUAAUUCUGUAUCCUAGAUUAACAUUCGAUGUUUGAUCCAGAAAUUAGUAUCUUUGUU